rnacentral:sRNA from 1 species
GUGCGGAGGUUAGGGCGAUCGCUUGCGUUCUUGUGGGAGUUCUGGUGUUCCGGUGUACCGGUUUGCAUACUAGAUACCCAGUCAUGUCAUUUAAUCGUAAGUCUUUCCGUUCUGUCAUAUAAUGCGUUGAAUGCGUUUGUGAGUGCUAAAUACUAUUCAUGUCUUCGUCCUGGACGUCCCUCUGCUUGGUGGGGGGUGAAGGGUGGGGGGAAGAAAGAAAAAUUUAAGUCUGGCCGUUGAUUUUUAUAUUUCCUAAAGCAUAUCAAGGUUUUGGUCUCAAAAUUAUCACAAAUGAUAUCAUUUACAGAGGGCACAUAGUAAACAAACUACUUAUAUUUAGAGAAUGGAAAUUAUAUGCACAUGAAAACUAAAGUACACAAAUCUACUUAUCCUUUCACCAGCAAGCAUCAGAAGAAGGGGAAUGUAAAAUUAGCGGAGCGACAAAACAUAGAAAAGGAAAGGGAGGAAAAUCCUUCUUUUUAAAAGAGACGCCUGAUUAUCUUGCCAAAUGAAAUAAAAUAUAAAAAAUAUAUCGCCCAAAAACUUAACAUGCUUGAAUGCCUCACUCGGUGUGAAUCGGGAGAAAAUGUCUAAAUUGAAGAUUGGGGCAACAGAAGUGAUUUUUCAGAACCGAAAGUUUGCGUGAUAGAGAAGGGGGGAAAGGGUUCAAAGGGGUGGUAAAAUUUCGUGGAAGCGGAAUCAAUAAGAAAUAUGUAGUUACUCGUAAUAGCCGAAGACUGCCAAAUCGAGCAAUACCAAAAGGUCAGGCUGUCGCGCUAAGAGGACCAACACCAAUCCGAACCCAAGCAGAGAAAAUCGGGAAGGGCUUCUAGGGAGGAGAUACAUACAUAUGUAUGUAUUUUCAGGGGGGAAAUGCCAUUCCAUUUCAGGUAUCAUAGUUGCAUCUCCACCGAUUGUCGUUACAACGCCGAGACGUUUCGAUGCACAUCCUAGUACCAGCGCAGCACAAAAGAGCUAAAACAAAAUAAUGAGAAAGAACAGGAAGAGGUAAACAUUAACGUUACUUCCAUCAUAUGCCGCGGAGGCACCACCACCGCGGCGUGAUUUUUCCUUUGGAGCUAGCAGAUGGGAUUCUGCACUGGUAUUUGACGACAUUCACCCAGAGAAUAAAAUAUGGAAGCGGGUUCAAGAAGUGAGGUCCAAUGACCUUAUAACUCAGCUGGUCGAAACGUGGCCAAGACUUUUCAAAAGCCUCUAGAAGAGUGGUGGUGGGCACAGAGGAUAAAAUAUAGUAUCCCAUUUCAGGAGGGCAUAUGAAUUAGCCCCGGGAGGACGGAGGAUCUGAAAGCUUGUUUCGAUAAUGCAGGGGAAAGGAAAUGGGGGGAAUGUGAGACAUGCGCGUGAGACUAAAUGUUAGUAUAUCGUUACCUUGAACAUUGUUUGCCACUCGACAAGAACCUAGUUAAUAGGAGCUGGUUGUGUUAGCACAAAACGAGAUCUAAGGGUCACUGUGGCGUGUUAGUUCUGUUCACAGAUGUUGAUUACAAAAUGACGAAUAUGACGACAAAAGCUUGGAUGAUUGGGUAUCGUUAUGUAGAACGCCGGAAUAUGCUACUCCGACCGAUGUCGCUUGAUGUCUGGAGUGGAGCCCUCGAGAUCACCAAUGCCGG